rnacentral:rRNA from 1 species
AUUGAACGCUGGCGGCAGGCCUAACACAUGCAAGUCGAACGAGAGGCGGACGGGUGAGUAAUGUAUGGGAAACUGCCCGAUGGAGGGGGAUAACUAAUGGAAACGGUGGCUAAUACCGCAUACUAUCGGAUGCACCCAGAUGGGAUUAGCUAGUAGGUGGGGUACAGGCUCACCUAGGCAACGAUCCCUAGCUGGUCUCAGAGGAUGAUCAGCCACACUGGAACUGAGACACGGCCCAGACUCCUACGGGAGGAAGCAGUGGGGAAUAUUGCACAAUGGGCGCAAGCCUGAUGCAGCCAUGCCGCGUGUAUGAAGAAGGCCUUAGGGUUGUAAAGUACUUUCAGCGGGGAGGCGUUACCCGCAGAAGAAGCACCGGCUAACUCCGUGCCAGCAGCCGCGGUAAUAC